rnacentral:lncRNA from 1 species
CUGGCCAUUUUUCUGCUGCUCUAAUCUUCAUUUGGGAACCCAGGGAUAUGAAUGGGAAGCAAGACAGCCAUGGCAACAAAGGGCCUUGUGCUCACUCUAGCAGAGCGUCCUGCCUUUGUCUGUGAUCCAGCCUGGUGCGUCAGUCUUUGCAAACAAAAGAUGUGACCACCCGGCCGCCUAUCCCUGCCCCCACCAAAGCAGUAAUGGAGGCUGAGGCCUCUCCAGUUGAGCCGAGCCAGGAGAGCAGCAGACAGGUACAGAUCAGCAGGCCAGGAACAGGGCUCACAAAAGAGAGGUCGUGCUUAAUAAACCUGACUAAUUUCUUGGAGCGGCAACAAUGCCAAGUGGACAGAGGUGAAAUGAGGGACAGUAACUCAGUAACUCAUCCUGAUUCCGAGGCACAGAAGCACAGCUAAAAUCAACAGAGAGAGUUUGUGGAGAUGCUGCUGGGGCCUGAAAGGGUCUGGUGGGGCUCAGUUCUGGGGGAAGAUGGAUGGAAACUCAGUGAG